rnacentral:lncRNA from 1 species
CAGUCAUAAGGGAGUAACAGGGGCAGACCUACCUGGAAAACUGGACAAGACAUAUGCUACAACAGUUUUUAGACAGUAGACAACAGGCAGCACAAGAUUGUGAUUCUUGAGAGAGGGGAGGCAAUUGAGGGAGCCCCAGGAGCCGAAUGCACCCCGCCUCUCUGCUCUCUCACCCUCAGUCUGCUCCAGGGAACAGUGAGUGGCUUACCCGAUUGCCCUGGGGACCGCUGCUGUACUCCAGAAGGCUCCCAUCCCAAGGGAUGCUGAGAAGUCACCUCAGCUCGGCUAACACUCUGGCCCAGGGAAGGCUCAAGGGCUAUGGGGUCA